UGGGGAAUUUUGGACAAUGGGGGCAACCCUGAUCCAGCCAUUCCGCGUGAGUGAAGAAGGCCUUCGGGUUGUAAAGCUCUUUCGCAAGGGAAGAAAACUUACUUAUUAAUACUAGGUGAGGCUGACGGUACCUUGAUAAGAAGCACCGGCUAACUACGUGCCAGCAGCCGCGGUAAUACGUAGGGUGCGAGCGUUAAUCGGAAUUACUGGGCGUAAAGCGUGCGCAGGCGGUUUGAAAAGUCAGAUGUGAAAUCCCCGGGCUCAACCUGGGAACUGCGUUUGAAACUCUCAAACUAGAGUAUGGCAGAGGGGGGUAGAAUUCCACGUGUAGCAGUGAAAUGCGUAGAGAUGUGGAGGAAUACCAAUGGCGAAGGCAGCCCCCUGGGUCAAUACUGACGCUCAUGCACGAAAGCGUGGGGAGCAAACAGGAUUAGAUACCCUGGUAGUCCACGCCCUAAACGAUAUCUACUAGUUGUUGGGAGAGUAAAAUCUCUUAGUAACGCAGCUAACGCGUGAAGUAGACCGCCUGGGGAGUACGGUCGCAAGAUUGA
rnacentral:rRNA from 1 species